CCAGGUGCAACUAUACAUGAUACAGUUUGAAUCAGCCCUUAGAAGAGUAAUUUUUCUGCCCUGUAAGGCUGGGUUUGGGCACGACAGGACGCUGUUUGUAUCUUCUGUGCAAGCAAACACGAUGCACCCAGGGGGAGCAGCCGGGAGACUGGGGCUUGCAGGUUUAUCCUCCCGGAGAUUGCAUUUGUGUUAUUGUUAAUAAACCUGCCUUGCAAAUCUACUCUGAAGGAAGAGCAGGGUUUCGUUCAUCAGCACUUAUUGCUGAAGGCAGCUCUGUGUUCUCCACGUGUCCCCACGGACACUUUGUGCCUUCCCGGGGAGAGCACAUUGAGCUGAAAUUGCUUCCAAUCUUCCGUCGGCCCGAGCGGCGGGAAUGGGUUUGUGCGGCGGCCGCUUCCACCCUGCCAGCCUCUGAAAAAUAAUGGAGCAAGUAGCCAAGCUGGGGAAACAAAUAGGGUAUUAUAGAGUUUAUUCAUAUGUGCUGCCUUCCAUCCCAUUUGUCACCAUUUCAUCCCACCUGCUGCUGAGCAGGGUUCUGUUGCUCAGAGAUGCCUUCGAGGCGUCGUUGGCACUGCGCUGGUACUACGAGUGAAUAUCAAUAUCUGCUUUGAAUAACCUAAAUGUGUUUUAAACAAGGCAUUGCCAAAUUAUGGCAGUAGCCGUGCGUGGGGCUCUGCAAACACCAAUUAAGAGUCUGUCUCAUUUACAAUGAGAUCCAUUGAGAAAAGUUAUUCUGAGGAGAAAUUUGGCACGUCGUGACCAAGAUUAGGAACUCACUUCACCCCUUUCCCCCCUUUUUCACUGGUUUUCUUCCUCUUCUGUGUAGAAAAACAUUAGCUGAUGCUGUAACUGCUAAAUAAUUCAGAUAAAAGAUUGCUCUCCAUGAGAGGACAGAGCAAGGCACAGGAAUGGCUGUUUCUGGGGUGCACAAAAGGCUCUUUCACUCAGUCUGGUGAGGCAGAAUGGAAAGGAGAUGCUUGAAUAUAAAAAGUUUCUUAUAAAGUAACUAAUAAUGACUUUAAGCUGAAGGAGGGGAGAUUUAGAUUAGAUAUUGGGAAGGAAUUCUUCCCUGUGAGGGUGGGGAGGCCCUGGCACAGGUUGCCCAGAGAAACUGUGGCUGCCCCUGGAUCCCUGGAAGUGUCCAAGGCCAGGUUGGACGGGGCUUGGAGCAACCUGGGCUAGUGGAAGGUGUCCCUGCCCAUGGCAGGGGGUGGCACUGGAUGAGCUUUAAGGUCCCUUCCAGCCUAAAGCCUUUUGUGGUUCUAUGAUUCUAAGUAAGCACAGACCACUUGGAGGAGUGGAAGCAUCUGCAGCUUGUGCUGAUCUCACUUGAAAUUGAGAACUUUUGCUUCAAGGUGCCCAUCUGAUGCUCCCCUGAGGUUGUCUGGUUGGAGAAUAGAUUAGAUGCUGAUACCAAUCUUUUUUGGGUGGUUGAAGGGAUUGUGAUUUGGCCUCCAGUCUGCUUUUUAUGAAGCUUUUGCUCCCUUCUCGCUCGUGCUUUGCCAACUCCAUUAUCCACCUUGGUUGGCAGUUUGCAAACUGCAGCCUCCCAUUAGCACAGGAUGCUGGUGGAUUUUUCCAGGUUCUCCUCACUGGUGAGCACUUAUAAAACAUCUGCAAACAGCAAGAGGAGCUGGCACAGCCCGGGGUGAUGGCAGAUGACAUCUGUAACUCUGGCAGACGAUGACUGGCACAGAGGAGCUGUGCUGAGCUGCUGGACAGCAGCCAGAGGAGGCGAGUUUGGAGAGAUCACCUCUAAAAUCACCACAAGGAAAAAGGAAAUCCUGAAGAGUGCUGGCCUGCUGCAAGGUAGGAUAAACAUAUUUAAAAUAAGUGAAGUGUUUUCCUCCAACAGCAGCGAAAUGGACAAGUGUUGGAAUCGGAGAGAGGGAGUGCAGGUGCUCAUGGAGCUUGUACGGUUGGGUGUCUCAAUGGCCUGCAAGGGAUCUGCAGUAAAUGUUUUAUCUGUGUUGUUAUAGUAGUGCUGUGAAUCUUAUUGUGCUCCUCAGAACUGAGUUUGGCUCUGGAAUCUGCAGUGCAGAGUCUCUGAUUUCUUCUAUAGUCAAAAAAUUAAUUCAAUUACACGCUGAUAUUUGUGUUUUUAGAGGUGGUUAAUUUUCGUGAUUGUGGGAAUAAUUCUGUAAAAGAGAAUAGAAUGUGCACGAAAUGAGAAAGUCACGUAGAAAAACUACAGUCCCAUUCCUUUUCACACUAAAUUGCUGUUUGCUGCAAUCAUGGGUGCAUUGUGGGCAAUAAAUACCACAAUGAGUGCAGGACUAGGGCUUGUGAUGUCUGGUUUUAGCACUUCUCAUAACUUAAAUGAUACUUGGCAUUUCUUAUCAAAAUGAUAAUGGCUGUGGUGUCAUAUUGGUGUGUUUUGCAGGUAUUUAAUAUAUCUGAAAUAUCUUCUGUCUCCAGUUCCAGCUCCUGACAGCCAGCCUUUGUGUAUGAGCCCCUUUGGAGUCUGGAGAUAUGCAAAGGAUGCAGCAGCUCUUGCUGGGCCUGCCUGCUUUGGAGUGGUGUGAUUUAUGUCUGUUGACUGCAAAUGCUUUGCCCCACCAAAGAGCUGCAUCACAAAGCUACUAAAGUCAGGCAGCUCUUCUUUUCUAGGGCUCUCCAGUCCCUGGGAGGAACAGCAAGUGCUGCAGAGCAAAAUGCUGAGAAGAAAUGGCUCUGAGCUCCCUGCCCAAGGACUGUGUGAUGCCAUGAACCAGACUGGGCACAAGGGGUUGCUGGUGACCAAACAUAGUCUGGGGGGUUGUUACCCUGGUCUCAAAUUGUGAAUGGUAAAGUAAUUCCUUAGUGUUUUCCUUCCUGACAUCCCUGGUAUCGUGGUUUAUUCCGUGAUGUUGAUGGAUCAGGAAUCUCCUGCCUGCGAUGGUCGAAAAUCCAGCUUAACUUUUGCUCUCUCAAAGUAAUUUUAUAGGGUUUUAAAAAUAUGUUUUUUACAAGGGAACUAUUAAUCUCUUGGUCAUUUUCUCUGAGGUUUGUCAUGCUGAAAGCUGCCGUGGUACCAUGUGCACAGGGUCCAUCCUGGGACAGUGCCCACCUUGUGUUUCUGGAGGAGGAAGGUGGAGCUCUCAUCAGAACAGGGCAGCUGCACCAUCCAAGGCACCUCAACUGGGAGCUGGAACUCCACUGAGGAGAUUGUACAUGCUAGUAAAGGUACAGAAUAGGACAUUUUGGAUGGAGAAAUCUUCUUCUUUCUUGGCUUGGAGUUGGCUGAGUUAGUCUUCAGUUUCAAGGGGAAAAAACCCCAAUCCAUGGAUUUUGUGCCUUUCUAAAUCAUUUCUUUCUAUGGUGAUUUCCACUGGAGCAGACCCUCCUUCUCCAGAGGGGUGGCAGCAGGAAGGUGGAAUUGUUG